UUACGGUCAUAACACGUUGAAAUACCAGUUCUCCUACGAUCAUCAAAGUUAAGCAAAAUAGAGCCUGGUCAUUACCUAGAUGGGUGACCCCCUUGAGAAUACCAAGUACUGUAAG